rnacentral:rRNA from 1 species
AUUGAACGCUGGCGGUAGGCCUAACACAUGCAAGUCGAGCGAGCGGCGGUCGGGUGAGUAAUGCCUGGGAAUUGCCCAGUCGAGGGGGAUAACAGUUGGAAACGACUGCUAAUACCGCAUACGUUUGUAUCGCACAGGUGGGAUUAGCUAGUUGGUGGAGUAAUGGCUCACCAAGGCGACGAUCCCUAGCUGGUCUGAGAGGAUGAUCAGCCACAAGGUAACUGAGACACGUUCCAGACUCCUACGGGAGGCAGCAUUGGGGAAUAUUGCACGAUGGGGGAAACCCUGAUACAGCCAUGCCGCGUGUGUGAAGAAGGCCUUCGGGUUGUAAAGCACUUUCAGCGAGGAGGCGUUACUCGCAGAAGAAGCACCGGCUAACUCCGUGCCAGCAGCCGCGGUAAUUC